rnacentral:misc_RNA from 1 species
AAGAGUUAUUACAACUCCCAAACCCAUGUGAACUUACCUUUGUUGCCUCGGCAGGUCUGCAGCCUACCCUGUGAAACCCUACCCUGUAGGGACCUUACCUGGGAGAUGCGGGUAAAGCCUGCCGGUGGCCUAUCAAACUCUGUUUACUUAUGUCAUUCUGAAUUAUAUAACUAAAUAAGUUA